GAGAGCCUUGCAAGAGAGCCUGGUGCCCAGACUGGAGCUGGAAGAGGGAUUUGGCCUCUGCUGUGACAACUCUGAGGACUCAGGCUUAGAGGUACCCAGGGAAUGUGAGGCUGCUGGGUCAGUGCUUCUUCUACAAAAGGUAAUAAAAGUGCAUCUUUAAAUCUUGUCCAGGAAGAUGUCAGAGCUCUCCUACACAGUUAAUAUGCCUAACACAGAGACCAGCUUAGUCAUGACAGGAUAAAGCAUUGUCCUGCUAGGAGUUCACAUAUCCUGCAAUAUAGGAUAUAUGAAUAUUUGCCUUAGGUUGGGAACUUCAAACCAAGACAAUAUUGGACAUAUAUCAUAGAAUAUAUGAACAUGAACAUUAUUGCAGGUUCAUAUAUCCUGCAAAUCUCACUCCAUGAGGUGUAUAAAUGUAUCUGGGUGCAUAUGUAUAUUUAUAUUUAUGUAUGUGUGUGUGUAUUGCUGUGUAUAAGCUUAUGCAGGUAUCUGUUUUCUCCCAAUAACUCAGUAACUUCUCUCAGUAACUCUGCCUGCAGCUUUGCAGACUCCAGGAUCCUGGCCAGCUGGAGCAGGGGAGGCUGCCAAGUCCAUCAGGUUGAUGGAGCCAGCAGGCUGCUCCACCUGCCUGUCUGGAAGCAUUCUUUUGCUCUCCUGGGAGCUUCCCAGCACAUCUCCAUUUCCUCUGGAAGAAGGUUUGCCCAUGGCUGCCAGCAUCUGUGGCAGGUCUGCUUUCCAUGGCUGGUGUGGCUGCAAAGCCCAGAGACCCAUGGCCCUUCUCAGCUCUGUUUUAGCCAUCUCCCAGCUGCACAAGUCCUGAACAUUUCCAAAAUGUAGCUCAUGAAGCAAAUGAAAAGACACAGGCUUCUUGCUGCUGCUUUACAGGGGUAGAGGGGGAUGAUCUCAGUAAGAACUCUGUGUGUGCCACAACCUGGUGAAAACAGUAAUAAAUCAUGGUUUUCUUGUCUUUCAAGGGAGAACUUCCUUGUCAGCAGCUGAGAAGAUCCUGAAGAGUUCCAAGGUGCAUGAGGAGGUUUGGUUUGUUUUUUUAAUAUAACAAGAAUUCAGGUAAAGAAGAGCUGCCUGCAUAAAGGAGAUUUAGAGGAUUUGGGAUUUCCAAGUGGUCUGAUGAAUCAGAACAGACUGACACUUCCUGCCACCUCUCCUCCUGGUGCUAGCUUGAAGAGAGCAAAACAGGAAGGAUGGGACUUCACGGGCUGGAGCUGGAAUUGGACAAUGAACUCCAAUAUGCAAAUGGAGCAGAACUUAUAAAAGUGAGAGACCCUGUGACCAGUUGUCCAUUUUGGGACCAUUUUGAUCCAUCUUGGGUGCAGCCCUGGCUGGGCUCUUGUGCUGCCCAAGGUGGAUCUGUUGAGGAGAUCCUUUUAAUAAAUCCCUGCUUUAUUCUUUA